UGGGGAAUAUUGCACAAUGGGCGCAAGCCUGAUGCAGCCAUGCCGCGUGUGUGAAGAAGGCCUUCGGGUUGUAAAGCACUUUCAGCGGGGAGGAAGGCGUUAAGGUUAAUAACCUUGGCGAUUGACGUUACCCGCAGAAGAAGCACCGGCUAACUCCGUGCCAGCAGCCGCGGUAAUACGGAGGGUGCAAGCGUUGUCCGGAUUUAUUGGGCGUAAAGCGAGCGCAGGCGGUUUCUUAAGUCUGAUGUGAAAGCCCCCGGCUCAACCGGGGAGGGUCAUUGGAAACUGGGAGACUUGAGUGCAGAAGAGGAGAGUGGAAUUCCAUGUGUAGCGGUGAAAUGCGUAGAUAUAUGGAGGAACACCAGUGGCGAAGGCGGCUCUCUGGUCUGUAACUGACGCUGAGGCUCGAAAGCGUGGGGAGCAAACAGG
rnacentral:rRNA from 1 species